rfam:Ovis aries breed Texel chromosome 2, whole genome shotgun sequence.
UCCCUGGCUGUCCAGUGGUUAGGACUCUGAACUUCCAUUGCAGGGGGCCUAGGUUCAAUCCCUGGUCAGGGAA